rnacentral:rRNA from 1 species
CGGAACGUACCCAGAAGUGGGGGAUAACGUAGCGAAAGUUACGCUAAUACCGCAUACGAUCUACGGAUGAAAGUGGGGGACCUUCGGGCCUCAUGCUUGUGGAGCGGCCGAUAUCUGAUUAGCUAGUUGGUAGGGUAAAGGCCUACCAAGGCAACGAUCAGUAGCUGGUCUGAGAGGACGACCAGCCACACUGGGACUGAGACACGGCCCAGACUCCUACGGGAGGCAGCAGUGGGGAAUUUUGGACAAUGGGCGCAAGCCUGAUCCAGCAAUGCCGCGUGAGUGAAGAAGGCCUUCGGGUUGUAAAGCUCUUUUGUCAGGGAAGAAACGGCUGAGGUUAAUACCUUCGGCUAAUGACGGUACCUGAAGAAUAAGCACCGGCUAACUACGUGCCAGCAGCCGCGGUAAUACGUAGGGUGCAAGCGUUAAUCGGAAUUACUGGGCGUAAAGCGUGCGCAGGCGGUUUUGUAAGUCUGACGUGAAAGCCCCGGGCUCAACCUGGGAAUUGCGUUGGAGACUGCAAGGCUUGAAUCUGGCAGAGGGGGGUAGAAUUCCACGU